rnacentral:lncRNA from 1 species
AAUGGGCUCAGCUUCCUGAUCCUGGUGAGCAGUUCCCUAGGUUCGAGAGAAGAGGAGGAGCUGGAUUCGUUGUGGUGCAAGGAAAGAUUUGGGUGGUUUACGGGUUUGCAACUUCUCCUGAUCCUAAUGGGAAAAAUGACUAUGAGUCCGACCAAGUGCAGUUUUAUGACCCGGCUACUCAGAAAUGGACCGAAGUGGAAACUAAAGGAGACAAACCUUCUGCGAGGAGCGUGUUUGCACAUGCGGUUGUGGGGAAAUAUAUACUGAUAUUUGGAGGAGAGACCUGGCCGGACCCAAAGGCACAUUUGGGACCAGGGACGUUGUCUGAUGAAGGGUUUGCGUUGGACACUGAGACACUGGUGUGGGAGAGGUUUGGAGGAGGAGCUGAACCGGGUCAACUCGGUUGGCCCGGUUACACGACUGCCACCGUGUAUGGA